rnacentral:rRNA from 1 species
UACGGGGGGGGCAAGCGUUGUUCGGAAUUACUGGGCGUAAAGGGCUCGUAGGUGGCCAACUAAGUCAGACGUGAAAUCCCUCGGCUUAACCGGGGAACUGCGUCUGAUACUGGAUGGCUUGAGUUCGGGAGAGGGAUGCGGAAUUCCUGGUGUAGCGGUGAAAUGCGCAGAUAUCAGGAAGAACACCCGUGGCGAAGGCGGCUCUCUGGGACGGUACUGACGCUGAGACGCGAAAGCGUGGGGAGCGAACAGG